UGGUCUUAAGCUGGAAGUACAAAUUAAAGCCGUUGUAAAAUCCAGCUUUUUACACUGCACUUAAGGCAGCUAUCCAAAGUAAAACCUAUUCUCUCCAGACAGCACUUUGAAACAGUCAUCCAUGCAUUUGUGACCACACGGCUGGACUACUGUAAUGCACUUUACAUAGGAGUCAGUGAUUUAUAUAUUUCCCAGCUUCAGAGGGUACAAAAUGCUGCUGCACGUCUUUUAACAGGUACACGAAAAUUUGACCAUAUUUCCCCUAUUUUAGCUUCCUUACACUGGUUACCAGUACAUUUUAGGAUUCAUUUUAAAAUCCUUUUAUUUGUUUUUAAAGCUCUUAAUGGCCUCGCCCCUCCCUAUCCGAGCUGUUAUACCCACCCC